rnacentral:rRNA from 1 species
CCUUUUGGUUCGGAACAACACAGGGAAACUUGUGCUAAUACCGGAUAAGCCCUUACGGGGAAAGAUUUAUCGCCGAAAGAUCGGCCCGCGUCUGAUUAGCUAGUUGGUGAGGUAAUGGCUCACCAAGGCGACGAUCAGUAGCUGGUCUGAGAGGAUGAUCAGCCACAUUGGGACUGAGACACGGCCCAAACUCCUACGGGAGGCAGCAGUGGGGAAUAUUGGACAAUGGGGGCAACCCUGAUCCAGCCAUGCCGCGUGAGUGAUGAAGGCCCUAGGGUUGUAAAGCUCUUUUGUGCGGGAAGAUAAUGACGGUACCGCAAGAAUAAGCCCCGGCUAACUUCGUGCCAGCAGCCGCGGUAAUACGAAGGGGGCUAGCGUUGCUCGGAAUCACUGGGCGUAAAGGGUGCGUAGGCGGGUCUUUAAGUCAGGGGUGAAAUCCUGGAGCUCAACUCCAGAACUGCCUUUGAUACUGAAGAUCUUGAGUCCGGGAGAGGUGAGUGGAACUGCUAGUGUAGAGGUGAAAUUCGUAGAUAUUCGCAAGAACACCAGUGGCGAAG